AAGCCCUCCCGCCGAGCCGCCCCUCGUGCCAACCUCAGGUCUACCGCCGUGGUUGCAAAGUACGGUGAGAAGAGCGUGUACUUCGACCUCGAGGACCUCGGGAACACCACCGGCCAGUGGGACCUCUACGGCUCCGACGGCCCCUCGCCUUACAACCCUCUCCAGGUAGGCGACAUGGUCCAAUCUCGCAUCGCCGCUUCCGUUUCGGGAUGAGUCGUGUUUCGAUUGAUGCCGAUGAGUCGUUUGUCGAAUUGCAGAGCAAGUUCUUCGAGACUUUCGCAGCUCCUUUCACUAAAAGGGGUUUGUUGCUCAAGUUCCUGCUGCUGGGUGGCGGCUCCACCAUAGCCUACCUGGGAGCCACCUCCUCGGGCGACGUACUGCCAAUCAAGAAGGGGCCUCAGCUGCCACCUACUCCUGGGCCGCGCGGCAAGAUAUAGGUGAUUUGUGUGAACAUCAAUCAAACAUGCUCGAUUAUUUUCUCAUCUGUAUUGUCGAUAUCUACCUGUUUGAUCAUCUUCCCAUGUAACACCUGAACCUUUGUACCC
rnacentral:lncRNA from 1 species